UUUUUAAACCAACCCUCUCUCUCCCCUUCACUUCUCCUCCCAACAAGACCUUCAAGUGUUCAAGCUUUUCCAGAUGAGAAAAAUGGAGGCACAAGGAGGUUUAGUCACUUGCCCAGGAUCACAAAGUUGGUGGCCAUCUUCUUAGCUAAAUCAAAUGCAAUCCAAUGGGCACCAACAAUAUGCUCAGCAAUGGUCGAACAGAAGAUGCUGAUGACGGGGUCAACGU